GCGCAGCAGGCGAGAAACCUCUACAAUGUGCGAAGCAUGAUAGGGGGACUCCAAGUGUCUCUCUAAAGAGAGACUUUUGUAGUUAUGUAAAAAGUACUACGAAUAAGGGGUGGUCAAGACUAGUGCCAGCCUCCGCGGUAACACUAGCAGCCCGAGUGGUAGUCAUUUUUAUUUGGCUUAAAGCGUCCGUAGUCUGAUUAGUAAGUUCUCUGUGAAAUCCUGUCGCUUAACAAUAGGGCUUGCAGAGAAUACUACCAAUCUUGGAGCCAGGAGGGGUUAGGGGUAUUCCGGGGGUAGCGGUGAAAUGCUAUAAUCCCCGGAGGCCACCAAUGGCGAAGGCACCUAACUGGAAUGGGGCUCGACGAUGAGGGACGAAAGCUAGGGGGA
rnacentral:rRNA from 1 species